rnacentral:rRNA from 1 species
UACGAAGGGUGCAAGCGUUAAUCGGAAUUACUGGGCGUAAAGCGUGCGUAGACGGUUAUGUAAGUCAGAUGUGAAAGCCCCGGGCUCAACCUGGGAAUUGCAUUUGAGACUGCAUAGCUAGGGUGCGGAAGAGGGAAGCGGAAUUUCCGGUGUAGCGGUGAAAUGCGUAGAUAUCGGAAGGAACACCAGUGGCGAAGGCGGCUUCUGGACGGUUACUGACGCUGAGACGCGAAAGCGUGGGGAGCAAACAGGGAUUAGAAACCCUAGUAGUACCAGCAAGCCAACGAUGUACUUCGCGUCACCGUA